CACACACCCCAUGCCCACCAUGUACACACGCUUACACACCAGCCCACCAUGUACACACGCACCCCAGCCCACCAUGUACACGCACACACACCCCAGCCCACCAUGUACACACACACACCCCAAGCCCACCAUGUACACACGCUUACACACCAGCCCACCAUGUACACACGCACACCAGCCCACCAUGUACACACACACACCAGCCCACCAUGUACACACACACACCCCAUGCCCACCCAUGCGGUGAGGAACCAUUCCGUACAUGCAUACUUCACAUAUUGUAAAUGUCUGUCUGGGUCUUACAUCCCAAAUGGCACCCUAUUAGGUAGGUGGAAGGACGCAGGUUGGGAGUAGAUGGAAGGACCCAGGUUGGGAGUAGGUGGAAGGACGCAGGUUGGGAGUAGGUGGAAGGACGCAGGUUGGGAGUAGGUGGAAGGACGCAGGUUGGGAGUAGGUGGAAGGACGCAGGUUGGGAGUAGGUGGAAGGACGCAGGUUGGGAGUAGGUGGAAGGACGCAGGUUGGGAGUAGGUGGAAGGACGCAGGUUGGGAGUAGGUGGAAGGACGCAGGUUGGGAGUAGGUGGAAGGACGCAGGUUGGGAGUAGGUGGAAGGACGCAGGUUGGGAGUAGGUGGAAGGACGCAGGUUGGGAGUAGGUGGAAGGACGCAGGUUGGGAGUAGGUGGAAGGACGCAGGUUGGGAGUAGGUGGAAGGACGCAGGUUGGGAGUAGGUGGAAGGACGCAGGUUGGGAGUAGGUGGAAGGACGCAGGUUGGGAGUAGGUGGAAGGACGCAGGUUGGGAGUAGGUGGAAGGACGCAGGUUGGGAGUAGGUGGAAGGACGCAGGUUGGGAGUAGGUGGAAGGACGCAGGUUGGGAGUAGGUGGAAGGACGCAGGUUGGGAGUAGGUGGAAGGACGCAGGUUGGGAGUAGGUGGAAGGACGCAGGUUGGGAGUAGGUGGAAGGACGCAGGUUGGGAGUAGGUGGAAGGACGCAGGUUGGGAGUAGGUGGAAGGACGCAGGUUGGGAGUAGGUGGAAGGACGCAGGUUGGGAGUAGGUGGAAGGACGCAGGUUGGGAGUAGGUGGAAGGACGCAGGUUGGGAGUAGGUGGAAGGACGCAGGUUGGGAGUAGGUGGAAGGACGCAGGUUGGGAGUAGGUGGAAGGACGCAGGUUGGGAGUAGGUGGAAGGACGCAGGUUGGUAGUAGGUGGAAGGACGCAGGUUGGGAGUAGGUGACUGGAAGGACUUACUGCUGGUUCUAGCAGCAUAGAGUAGGACAGAACAGAGGGCAGACUGCUCUAGAAGGAUUCACAUUUUUCCAGUCAGACCCUCACAGCUGCAGUCUACUGCACUCUGAUAGAACAGAUACAAGCAGCCCAAAACAGCAACAGCUUGAAGAUACAGUACACAGCUAGCUACAGCCGCUAACACUGCAGAGCCAGCUCUCUCACACACACGGAUGAGUACACAGUUACGCUGGCCUGAAAAUAGUCAUUCACACACAGUUCUGCUUAGAUGAGCAAACGUAAACAACCACUGACAUUUGCCUAGACUAGGCUAGGACUAAUACUGAGAUAUUAGCUGUGUUCGAAUAACAUCCUGUACACUACAUACUAUUAGUUCAUUUUAGUAUGCUGUAAACUAACGGUAUCCUUUCAGUUGAGCAUACUAGCGCUUCACCUAGUCUACCUGAAGUUGAUGCUGUUGCUAUGCAACCUCUUGCUAGUAUUGUCAGUUUAUAAAUUCAGAGCAUUUCGCUCUUGGAGUGUAAAACGACUUAAAUGCUAAAUGACUUAAAUGUUCAGAGCGCACACUGGACGCUCUGGCUGAGGAGAAUGGUUGAUCCGAGCGUACUGACCUCAGAACGGCAGUAAAGCACCCAAACUAACUGGCUAAAGUUGGCUAGCUAUUCCCAGACACAAAUGAUAGAGCACAUCGCUCUGACCAUUUUAAUCACCCUAGCAGGGCUGGUUAGGCUGUUUUCAUGUUAUCUAGAGCCGUUGGUGACUGUAACCGUUCUGCUGGCAACAAUUUAAUUACACUUUUUUACCAACGUUUACUGACACCGGCCACAUUCAACGAGUGUUGAGCGUUUGUCAAUUCAUCAGUUAUUCUGAGCUCUGCCUCUGGCAGUCAAACGAGAAUGCUAUGUAAUUGGAGUCGAUACCCAGAGCGAUUUUACGAACAAAUCCAAAAACGACUAUGCCAAGCAAUGACUGACGUGAAUAAUCAAGUCAAUAAACAUUGGUUAGUUAGUUAGAUAGCAUAAAGUAAAUAUACUGGCAAGUUCAAUGUACUAGUAGCCAACUAACGUUAUAGUAGAUAGCCAACAUAGCAUAUCAUUAACAUAAAAUCACCCCAUUCUGUACAAUGCGCAACCGCAACAUUCAAACAAGUCUACAAAGAAAACUAAUGGGACUGUAGCGACUGUGUUGACGUCAAAUUCGGGGGCGUGAACUAGGUUUCUAUUCAAGCGUUGAUCGACAUGGUAACGGCUCUAUAGUGUUGGAGAAAAGUUGAAAAAAACGGACCCAUCUUGACGUGUCAUGUCGUAACGUACAGCACGCAUAAAGCAACUAUUUCUGUCUUACAAUCUCUCUCCACCAGGUGUAGCACUUCUCUCAUCCUUUAAAAACAAGAAAUGGACAGUGACGGGGGUAAGGGGGGGAUACCUCAUUUUUUUGCGUCAUCAUUGCAUGCGAUCAUCGUUCUCAAAGCCGCUGUUUACUUCUAAGAUCACUUUAGCACCGCCCUAAAAACCAGAUUCAAAUUCGACACAAACCUUGAAAUAGGUAUGUAAUGACACGUUAUAUAAACUCUUUAUAGUGUUUUAUUUACAUUUUAAUAAGGUGAUAAGUUGGACAAAAAAAAGCAAUUUUCCCACAACAUCUGUCCUUGUCACCCCCACGCAUUAGUUUCCCUUCCCCACCCGCCAUUUUUAAAAAGACCUGACGGGGAUCAUUGCCUGCUUGAAUUAUACAGAAACGAGCAGCGUUUAGGUCAUGUAAUUGAUUCUGUUGGAAAGAGGAGAAAUUGUGCUUUACAAUGGUAUUGACAUUACAGUUGAUCUGGAAGUAUUACGUUUUUGGGGCGCUAAUUGUACGGACCAAGGCGAUGUACGAGUUUACAUUACAGCAGUAUGUACCGGGUAUGCGAUUUGUAAACUAACAAAUUGUCAGCCAACAUAACGUGUAAUGUAACUUAUUUGAAAAGUAAUUAGUUUAUUACAUUACUCAACAUUUUAUUUACAUUUGUUAUAAUUGGUUAAGGUAAUAAAGAUUAAAUACAAUUAAUAUAGUUAAAUUAAUAUGUAAAGCAACGAAUUUGUAUACCCUCUCAUUGGACUUCGGCUGCAUAUUUUUCGCCAUUUUCUUCAAAUCUGAAAACAUUGAAGCCACGCCCAUUUUCUGAAGAAUUGCAUUAUGGGCCUUAAAAGCACAGAAAUAGUGUCCACUGCGUGUAUACUUCGUAUUUUGGUGAAUUUAGUAAGACUUCCGGGAACUUUUGGCAUACUAACUAUAUCCUCAAUUCACAUCACAAAUAGUAGUUAGUAUGAGUAUUUGAACACAGCUAUUGUCUUUCACUAUACAUGACAGAACUCAGAUUUAAAUGUGCUAUUUCAUUUUUUUAUUUGACCUUUAUUUAACUAGGCAAGUCAGUUAAUUAAGAACAAAUUCUUAUUUUCAAUGACGGCCUAGGAACAGUGGGUUAACUGCCUGUUCAGGGGCAGAACAACAGAUUUGUACCUUGUCAGCUCAGGGUUGCAACCUUUCAGUUACUAGUCCAACGCUCUAACCACUAGGCUACCCUGCCGCUCCAACAGUUCAGUCCAACCAUCUCUCUGCGAACUAGCCUAUACAAGGGAAUGAAGUGGCAUUGGAUGCUGAAUGGUGCUUAGUCAAUCAGUGUAGAGGGAACUGGUCUCUCUUGCAAGAGGUUUAAUCUGAAUGACAAUAGUUUAACCUGUAUAAAUAAAGGGGAUUUGAACGCUGACAUUCAAUGUUGAACAGUCACAGUGGUUAGCUGGUGAAGAAAUAGUGGAUUCUGACUGAACAGUGAACCGU